rnacentral:lncRNA from 1 species
GGCCGUUUUUGGCACAACUUUUUUGAUCUUUUGGUCCUCGAUGCUGUUCGACUUUGUGCUUGUUUCGGCUUUCAAACUUUUGUAUCUGGGCAUCACUAGUAGAUCUUGUGUGGAUAAAAUGCACUUCUGGCGUAUUAAAAUUUUCAACUUGUUGCCUUUUGUUGGCUGUUGUUCGUGUGUUUCUUUGUCAAUUGUAUUCUCCAAUUUAUUUAUAUUGUAGUCCUGUGGUGUUGAGUUGUCAUCUUAAUGUUAUAUUUCACAUGGCUAUAAAAGGGGAGGUUUGGCAUGCCACAAAACCAGGUUCAACCCACCAUUUUUUUCUUUAAAAAUGUCCUGUACCAAGUCAGGAAUAUGGCCAUUGUUAUAUUAUAGUUCGUUUCUGUAUGUGUUACAUUUUAAUGUUG